UUUCAUGGACUUUGAUUGCUUAAUAUCCAAAUGAAAUUGGAACUACGUUUGUAUGAAGCGAGUGACGGAGAGACCCCUCUUAAGUAACUUAUCGACAGAUUACAGAUAGAUAAUAAUUUCGGCCGUUUAUCUAGAGAUUGUACACAACCCAACUUAUUAUAUUAGUUACAAAGACUGCACUUUUGACCCAAGUUUGGUUUAUUUAAAGUUUCGUGUACAGUGAAAUUGGAUACCUAAUAUUUAUAUCAAUUAUAUUAAAUUUAAUAGCUCAUACAAAAUCUAAAAUACAUAGCCUAACCUAACUUAUAGAAUACCAUAGACAGUCGUACGGACGCCACUCAAUUUUAUAUAGACAUCGUGACGUCAAAUAAAAAAAAAACAAAAUAACCAUCCAAAUCAAAGUAAAUAUUUUAUCGAAAAAUUUUAAAGGGUUGUGCAUACUGAUUAACCAUAUUCCAACUAGUGCCAAUAAGGAAAAGUAUCGAAAAUGGCGGCGCUAAUCAUUCCUUCUCACUCGCACUAUAAAUAGGUAUAGUGUGUAAGCGAGAGGGGCUUAUUAAUUGGCGUUCUUCAAUUUGAUUCAGUGAAGCAGUAUCGAUACAGUAGAUUUAAAAUCUGAUAUAAAAAUGCUGGUUUAAAAAGUUUAAAUUAAGACUAUGGCCGCGAUUACAUUUGUAAGUUUUACUCAUGUUAAGUAAAUUUUUCAACUUACGUAAGUUGUGAGGCUAUAUGAUAAACUACUUACAAAGCUAAGUUACGAACUUAAGAAUGUUUACAUUAGUAAACUCGUAAGUCGAUAACGUAAGCUACUUGCGUGAGUAAAACUUACAGGUAUAAUACGGCCUAAGUUUACUUGAAUACAUAUUUCAAUCUUCGUCAAACAUAUUUUAAACGCCCCAAACAUAAAUACCAUGAUCAGUAACAGUAUGCACACACCUUUACCUAAAAAUUUGUGCUUGAUUUGGGGUACAUUAUUUGGCCCUUAAAAAUAUAUUGGAGGUUUUUUCAAAACCUGUCUAAUGUAUAAUAUUUUUAUACUUACUAUUUUUUUGUCAUACAUAAUUUAUACGUAUUUUUGUUAUCAAAGAAAAACAAUUUAAUUACAAAAAUGCUUAAUAUGGCGUACCGCUGAAUAAAAAAUAAAUACAUUAGGGUCCACACACACUUGCAACAUCCAAUGUCACGCAACGCAUAUUGAAAAUUGAAUGUACUUCCGCAGAGUUCUAAGCAUAAUUAUUAAUUACUAUUCAAGUUAACGCUUGUCAAACUAGUAUAAAGUCGUCAAAUUACGUUUAUCCGUGCAUAUUAAGUGUCAGAUUUACAUCAGUGCGUUAUAGAGAAAGCAAUUCUUUUCGAUCAAAUUGCGUAGUGUUGCAAGUGUGUUCGAGACCUAAUAAUUAUAAUAAUAACUCAGUUAUAUAUCUUCUACUCUUUCACUCUUUGGACACGAUUUUUGGUAUGUUCACAUACCAAAAGUAGAAAAAUUGUACAAAAGCUGCCCACUAACUUCUAAUUAAUUAUUAUAGUCUAAGAGACGGCUGAAUCAUUUCGUGAAAAUAAUUAUAGAUGCUCCUACCGUCUCUUUGCCUAUAAGGGUGACUCUCUAGUCUCUACUAAUAUAAAGUGCUAGUAUAUUAUAUGGGUAGCGAACAACUUUACAGAAAUCAAAUAUAUUCGAGAAUAAUUGUCACAUCAAAGAAAACAAACCAUUUUUUUUAAAAAAAAAACCUAAUUUUUAUAUCUUACUGGGAAAACAACAAUAAAAUAAUAAUUAAUUAUUUAUAUAAUAUAAGUGCAAUGUCAGAUCUACGCUUAAUUUAUGAAUAUUAUUCUUUGAUUUGUAGAACAUUUACGUUUAUGGCAACAAAGUUAUUUGUACAGUAUGUAAUAAAGGUAUAAGACCGCACUAACGACUUUUUGUUUUGUCGUUUCCCACACCCUUGACACGAGUCUAUCAGUAAGUUACGAUAAUAAUAGUAUACGAUACGAUAUAAUAGUUGUCAAGUAUUUCUCAAGAAGGAACAAAUAAUAUUUGAGAUCGACUGAUUAGAGAUAGAUUGAUUUAAUUUCGGGCCAUUUCUUACACAAGAAAACAUUUUUUGACUACGAAGCCGCUUUGUUACAGAAUUUUUUUAGAGAUUUCUUUGUAAAGUUUGCCACUAAAAUGUAUUAAUCUAAAUGUUAUUUAGUGAAUCUGUGUAGUUGAAUAUUUGUAAAACUGAAAGUAGGCAAUCUUAAUAUUUGUAUCUCACUUCGGCUAAUGUUUGACUUUGUAAUUAUCACUAUUACUUUAUGUACACACAUUAUGCAAAUAAAGAAUUCAGAAUUUUAUUUUCAGGAUUUUAUUGGUCUAUCGUUUUACAAGAUGUACUAUGUUUCUCCGUAAUAUUAGAGAAUCAUAACUCUCGCAACUUUUGCUCGUGCGACACGUCGGUAGUGCGACCUUACAUUUAUAUGAAUUAUAGUCAUUUGUAAUUUAAGAAUUUUACCUAUGAGUUUUCGUUAAAAUAUCUAUGUAUCAGUUUUAAGGAGAAAUCGAUUUGUAUGACUGUCCAUCUACAUUAGUCUAACUAUUGUUACUAAAUAUAUUGAGACACGGAAUAUAAUCACUGAAUUUUAUAUAAACAUGAGCAUAAGUUCACUGCAUGCUAUUGAAACUCCUUCCACU